rnacentral:rRNA from 1 species
UUUAAAGAAAGCGUAAUAGCUCACUGGUCGAGUCGGCCUGCGCGGAAGAUGUAACGGGGCUAAACCAUGCACCGAAGCUGCGGCAGCGACGCUUAGGCGUUGUUGGGUAGGGGAGCGUUCUGUAAGCCGUUGAAGGUGGCCUGUGAGGGUUGCUGGAGGUAUCAGAAGUGCGAAUGCUGACAUAAGUAACGAUAAAGCGGGUGAAAAGCCCGCUCGCCGGAAGACCAAGGGUUCCUGUCCAACGUUAAUCGGGGCAGGGUGAGUCGACCCCUAAGGCGAGGCUGAAAAGCGUAGUCGAUGGGAAACAGGUUAAUAUUCCUGUACUUGGUGUUACUGCGAAGGGGGGACGGAGAAGGCUAGGCUAGCCGGGCGACGGUUGUCCCGGUUUAAGCGUGUAGGGGGUGUGACCUGGUAAAUCCGGUUGCAUAUCAACCCUGAGGCGUGAUGACGAUGCACUACGGUGCAGAAGUAGUUGAUGCCCUGCUUCCAGGAAAAGCCUCUAAGCUCUAGGUAACAUUGAAUCGUACCCCAAACCGACACAGGUGGUCAGGUAGAGAAUACCAAGGCGCUUGAGAGAACUCGGGUGAAGGAACUAGGCAAAAUGGUGCCG